GAGUUUGAUCGUGGCUCAGGAUGAACGCUGGCGGCGUGCCUAAUACAUGCAAGUCGAGCGAACAGACGAGGAGCUUGCUCCUCUGACGUUAGCGGCGGACGGGUGAGUAACACGUGGAUAACCUACCUAUAAGACUGGGAUAACUUCGGGAAACCGGAGCUAAUACCGGAUAAUAUAUUGAACCGCAUGGUUCAAUAGUGAAAGACGGUUUUGCUGUCACUUAUAGAUGGAUCCGCGCCGCAUUAGCUAGUUGGUAAGGUAACGGCUUACCAAGGCAACGAUGCGUAGCCGACCUGAGAGGGUGAUCGGCCACACUGGAACUGAGACACGGUCCAGACUCCUACGGGAGGCAGCAGUAGGGAAUCUUCCGCAAUGGGCGAAAAGCCUGACGGAGCAACGCCGCGUGAGUGAUGAAGGUCUUCGGAUCGUAAAACUCUGUUAUUAGGGAAGAACAAAUGUGUAAGUAACUAUGCACGUCUUGACGGUACCUAAUCAGAAAGCCACGGCUAACUACGUGACAG
rnacentral:rRNA from 1 species